AAGAGCUGAUGUAUAAUGUUCAAAUGACAUUAAUCCACUAAGCAGAUUGUGUUGGACAAGGCAAGGAAGAAUAUAGAAGGAAUACAAGUUUCUUCUUAUAGAAAUGCCACAGUAUUAUGACAUUGAUGAUAUUAUAGCAGAAGAUAAGGUACUUGCUUAAAUCAUCAAUCAUAUCAACACUUCCAGUGGUUGCCUUGAAGCCAAGGUUCUUGGCAUGCAUAAGUAGCAGGGGAAGAGAGGACGAAAGAUGCUUGGAGAUAUAAAUAUUCAUAUUGUGUUAAUUUUUAACUAUUUUUAUUUUAGGAUUUAAUUGCAUUCCAUGUAUCGGUAUUAUGUGCUUGUCACAUUCAAAUGAGUUGGAGAUUGUGACUGACAUUAAUUUUAUUUGAUGUGAUUAAUUAAAAGUUUUUAAAGUUA